rnacentral:rRNA from 1 species
UACGGGGGGGGCAAGCGUUGUUCGGAAUUACUGGGCGUAAAGGGCUCGUAGGCGGCCAACUAAGUCGGAUGUGAAAUCCCCAGGCUUAACCUGGGAACUGCAUCCGAUACUGGAUGGCUUGAAUCCGGGAGAGGGAUGCAGAAUUCCAGGUGUAGCGGUGAAAUGCGCAGAUAUCAGGAGGAACACCGGUGGCGAAGGCGGAUCUCUGGGCCGAUACUGACGCUGAGGAGCGAAAGCGUGGGGAGCGAACAGG